CCCUUAGACGUUCUGGGCCGCACGCGCGCUACACUGACCGGUGCAACAAGCAUCCGUCCUUGGCCGACAGGCCCGGGCAAUCUUUGAACGCCGGUCGUGAUGGGGAUAGACUUUUGCAAUUUUUAAUCUUCAACGAGGAAUUCCUAGUAAGCGCGAGUCAUCAGCUCGUGCUGAUUACGUCCCUGCCCUUUGUACACACCGCCCGUCGCUCCUACCGAUUGAGUGCUCAGGUGAAUAAUUCGGACUGCGGCAUUGACCGGUUCCCGAUCGUUGCUGCGGAAAGUUUAGUGAACCUUAUCACUUAGAGGAAGGAGAAGUCGUAACA
rnacentral:rRNA from 1 species